rnacentral:rRNA from 1 species
UGGGGAAUAUUGGACAAUGGGCGAAAGCCUGAUCCAGCCAUGCCGCGUGUGUGAAGAAGGUCUUCGGAUUGUAAAGCACUUUAAGUUGGGAGGAAGGGCAGUAAGUUAAUACAUUGCUGCUUUGACGUUACCGACAGAAUAAGCACCGGCUAACUCUGUGCCAGCAGCCGCGGUAAUACAGAGGGUGCAAGCGUUAAUAGGAAUUACUGGGCGUAAAGCGCGCGUAGGUGGUUUGUUAAGUUGGAUGUGAAAGCCCCGGGCUCAACCUGGGAACUGCAUCCAAAACUGGCAAGCUAGAGUACGGUAGAGGGUGGUGGAAUUUCCUGUGUAGCGGUGAAAUGCGUAGAUAUAGGAAGGAACACCAGUGGCGAAGGCGACCACCUGGACUGAUACUGACACUGAGGUGCGAAAGCGUGGGGAGCAAACA